ACAGGAUUGCGUUACGACCCACUGUGUUAUAGCUGCACAAUAUUGUGCUACAACUGUACAACAUUGUGCUAUAACUGCACAACAGCUGUUUGUUUACAGAUUCGAUGGGCACUUUGGAUAAUGCCUAGUGCACCGCAGCGCACAUUUUUCUAUACUAUAUAACGCAUUCAGAUAGCGCAUUUGCAGAAUGCUGCCAAUGGGGACAAGGGUCAAUUGCAGAGAUAUAGAGGAAUGCGAACAUGACUUUUAGGUCUUCAAAUAUUAUACCUAAGCCUAAAAUAUCUUUUAUCAUGUAAGCUAUUCGAAUGCGUUUCUUCGCCAAAGUUCCCUGCUACCAUCUCUUCCAGAAAGUUUGCUUCGUGGAGCUCCACGCAGCUGCAGCCUUACAAAGAUUUUACAAUGCCUUUAAAAUUGUUGGUUCGAUG
rnacentral:lncRNA from 1 species